rnacentral:rRNA from 1 species
UACGAAGGGGGCUAGCGUUGCUCGGAAUCACUGGGCGUAAAGCGCACGUAGGCGGAUUGUUAAGUCAGGGGUGAAAUCCUGGAGCUCAACUCCAGAACUGCCUUUGAUACUGAAGAUCUUGAGUUCGGGAGAGGUGAGUGGAACUGCGAGUGUAGAGGUGAAAUUCGUAGAUAUUCGCAAGAACACCAGUGGCGAAGGCGCUCACUGGACCGGUUCUGACGCUGAUGCGCGAAAGCGUGGGGAG